CCUACGGGAGGCAGCAGUGAGGAAUAUUGGUCAAUGGACGCAAGUCUGAACCAGCCAUGCCGCGUGCAGGAAGACGGCUCUAUGAGUUGUAAACUGCUUUUGUACGAGGGUAAACGCAGAUACGCGUAUCUGUCUGAAAGUAACGUACGAAUAAGGAACGGCUAACUCCGUGCCAGCAGCCGCGGUAAUACGGAGGGUUCAAGCGUUAUCCGGAUUUAUUGGGGUUAAAGGGUGCGUAGGCGGUCGGAUAAGUUAGAGGUGAAAUCCCGAGGCUCAACUUCGGAAUUGCCUCUGAUACUGGUCGGCUAGAGUGUAGUUGCGGUAGGCGGAAUGUCUGGUGUAGCGGUGACAUGCUUAGAGAUCAUACAGAACCCCGAUUGCGAAGGCAGCUUACCACGCUACUUCUGACGUUGAGGCACGACAGCGUGGGGAGCAAACAGGAUUAGCUACCCGGGUAGUC
rnacentral:rRNA from 1 species